rnacentral:rRNA from 1 species
CGAACGCUGGCGGCAUGGAUUAGGCAUGCAAGUCGAACGAAGCAGCAAUGCUUAGUGGCGCAAGGGUGAGGAACACGUGAGUGACCUACCCGCAAGUUUGGAACAGCUCCUGGAAACGGGAAUUAAUACCGGAUGUGAUCGAUGAACUGCAUGGUUUAUUGAUUAAGCAGCAAUGCGCUUGCGGAUGGGCUCGCGUCCCAUUAGCUAGUUGGUGAGGUAACGGCCCACCAAGGCCAUGAUGGGUAGCUGGUCUGAGAGGACGACCAGCCACACUGGGACUGAGAACUGCCCAGACUCCUACGGGAGGCUGCAGUCGAGAAUUUUGGGCAAUGGACGAAAGUCUGAACCCCCAGCAAUGCCGCGUGCGGGAUGAAGGUCUUCGGAUUGUAAACCGCUGUUUGGAGGGACGAAAAUUGACGGUACUUCCAGAGGAAGCCACGGCUAACUACGUGCCAGCCGCAGC